GACGAACGCUGGCGGCGUGCUUAACACAUGCAAGUCGAACGGAAAGGCCAUGCUUUUGUGGGGUGCUCGAGUGGCGAACGGGUGAGUAACACGUGAGUAACCUGCCCUUGACUUUGGGGUAACUUCAGGAAAAUGGGGCUAAUACCGGAUAGGAGCUCCUGCUGCAUGGUGGGGGUUGGAAAGUUUCGGCGGUUGGGGAUGGACUCGCGGCUUAUCAGCUUGUUGGUGGGGUAGUGGCUUACCAAGGCUUUGAAGGGUAGCCGGCCUGAGAGGGUGACCGGCCACAUUGGCACUGAGAUACGGCCCAUACUCCUACGUGCGGCAGCAGUGGGGAAUCUUGCACAAUGGGCCGAAGCCUGAUGCAGCAACGCCGCGUGCGGGAUGACUGCCUUCGGGCUGGAAACCGCUUUCGCCUGUGACGAAGCGUGAGUGACGGUAAUGGGUAAAGAAGCACCGGCUAACUCCGU
rnacentral:rRNA from 1 species